GUGGGGGUUAUGGCUCAGUGGUAGAGUACUUGCCUCAUACAUGCAAGGCCGUGAGUUUGAUCCUCAGCACCACA
rnacentral:tRNA from 1 species